rnacentral:rRNA from 1 species
UUUUGGACAAUGGGGGAAACCCUGAUCCAGCCAUCCCGCGUGUGCGAUGAAGGCCUUCGGGUUGUAAAGCACUUUUGGCAGGAAAGAAAUCGCAUAGGUUAAUAACCUGUGUGGAUGACGGUACCUGCAGAAUAAGCACCGGCUAACUACGUGCCAGCAGCCGCGGUAAUACGUAGGGUGCAAGCGUUAAUCGGAAUUACUGGGCGUAAAGCGUGCGCAGGCGGUUCGGAAAGAAAGAUGUGAAAUCCCAGGGCUUAACAUUGGAACUGCAUUUUUAGCUCCCGAGCUAGAGUAUGUCAGAGGGGGGUGGAAUUCCGCGUGUAGCAGUGAAAUGCGUAGAUAUGCGGAGGAACACCAAUGGCGAAGGCAGCCCCCUGGGAUAAUACUGACGCUCAUGCACGAAA